GAUGAACGCUGGCGGCGUGCCUAAUACAUGCAAGUCGAACGAGGAAGUACCUUCGGGUAUUGUACUAGUGGCGCACGGGAGAGGAACACGUGGGUAAUCUACCUUAAGGAGAGGAACAACCAGUCGAAAGAUUGGCUAAUACCUCAUAUGACCACAGUGACUUAUGUCACAGCGGUAAAAGAUUUAUCGCCUUAAGAUGAGCCUGCGUCCCAUUAGCUAGUUGGUGAGGUAAUGGCUCGCCAAGGCGGCGAUGGGUAGCUGGUCUGAGAGGAUGAUCAGCCUCACUGGAACUGAGACACGGUCCAGACUCCUACGGGAGGCAGCAGUAGGGAAUAUUGCACAAUGGGCGCAAGCCUGAUGCAGCGACGCCGCGUGAGUGAUGAAGGUCUUCGGAUUGUAAAGCUCUGUUGUUAGGGAAUAAGAAAGUGAAUGUACCUGACGAGAAAGCACCGGCUAACUUCGUGCCAGCCGCCGCCGUAA
rnacentral:rRNA from 1 species